UGGGGAAUUUUGGACAAUGGGGGAAACCCUGAUCCAGCCAUCCCGCGUGUGCGAUGAAGGCCUUCGGGUUGUAAAGCACUUUUGGCAGGAAAGAAACGUCAUGGGUUAAUACCCCGUGAAACUGACGGUACCUGCAGAAUAAGCACCGGCUAACUACGUGCCAGCAGCCGCGGUAAUACGUAGGGUGCAAGCGUUAAUCGGAAUUACUGGGCGUAAAGCGUGCGCAGGCGGUUCGGAAAGAAAGAUGUGAAAUCCCAGAGCUCAACUUUGGAACUGCAUUUUGAACUACCGGGCUAGAGUGUGUCAGAGGGAGGUGGAAUUCCGCGUGUAGCAGUGAAAUGCAUAGAUAUGCGGAGGAACACCGAUGGCGAAGGCAGCCUCCUGGGAUAACACUGACGCUCAUGCACGAAAGCGUGGGGAGCAAACAGG
rnacentral:rRNA from 1 species